rnacentral:tRNA from 1 species
GGGCGCGUAGCUCAGCUUGGUAAGAGCGUUCGACUGAUAAUCGAAAGGUCCUCGGUUCAAAUCCGAGCGUGCCCA